rnacentral:snRNA from 1 species
GUGCUCCCUGUGGCAGCACAUACACUAAAAAUUAGAGCAACACAGAGAAGAUUAGCAUGGCCCCCGUGCAGGGAUCACACUCAAAUUUGUGAAGCAUAGGGCUGCCUU